rnacentral:rRNA from 1 species
AUUGAACGCUGGCGGCAUGCCUUACACAUGCAAGUCGAACGGCAGCACGGGAGCAAUCCUGGUGGCGAGUGGCGAACGGGUGAGUAAUAUAUCGGAACGUGCCCAGUCGUGGGGGAUAACGCAGCGAAAGCUGUGCUAAUACCGCAUACGAUCUAAGGAUGAAAGCGGGGGAUCGCAAGACCUCGCGCGAUUGGAGCGGCCGAUAUCAGAUUAGCUAGUUGGUGGGGUAAAGGCCCACCAAGGCGACGAUCUGUAGCUGGUCUGAGAGGACGACCAGCCACACUGGAACUGAGACACGGUCCAGACUCCUACGGGAGGCAGCAGUGGGGAAUUUUGGACAAUGGGCGCAAGCCUGAUCCAGCAAUGCCGCGUGCAGGAUGAAGGCCUUCGGGUUGUAAACUGCUUUUGUACGGAACGAAACGGCCCUUUCUAAUACAGGGGGCUAAUGACGGUACCGUAAGAAUAAGCACCGGCUAACUACGUGCCAGCAGCCGCCGUAAAAC